UCCAUUAGAAUUUGUACCAAGUUAUUGGAUCUUAAUUAUGUGUUCAUCCUCUAUUUGGUUGAUGGAUCCGUAACAAGGAUCUACAUCGGUUUCGGAUCGGGUUUUAGUUAACGGGUCCAAGUGACAUCCUGCUAAACAGGGAUACUUCUUUAGCACGCCGUCCUCCGAAGCCUCCUCCCGCCGCCUCCUCGGAGCUAUGGAUGCCCAGAAGAUCUUGCUACGCAAUGGCCGCCCGGCCUCCGCAGGCGUGAAACCGACGACGACAACGCCGCUGACCCCAACACGAGCCACCUAGUCAAGGGCUCCCAGAUGAAGCGCGACUCCCCGGAGAUCAGCCCCGUCGAGCGCCUCUCCGACCGCAGGACGGAGCUCGCCAAGGUCAUCACCUACAGCUGCCCCAUGUACCCACAGGGUGGAAGCCGCAGCAUGCCCUCCCGCCACGCCGACGCCGUCCGCUACCAGGCGUGCCACCCCCCCAUCAAGAACUUCAAGAACCUUGGCGACAUUUGCCUCCCUGAGGCCAUCCCCAAGAAGUUGAAAGAAAAGGGGAUUGUCCAGCCGACCCCGAUCCAUCUGCAGGGACUGCCGGCGAUUCACGGGCUGAGGAAACUGUGGUGAUGCAGGACGAGGUCAUGAAAAUCGACAAUUGCAGGACAGAAGACCUUCCAACUGAGUUUGCUUUUCUAAGAUUUCAAAGAAGUGGCUAUCUUUUCUGAGAAAUUUUGUUUGUUAUUUUCUUAGGACCUUGAGCAUGAAAGAACAUGAGCUUUGCUCUCAAAAGAAUAGUAUUCAAAGUUGUUCUUUCGGUUUGAUUCUAUGACUUAUCUGAACUCCCUUUUUUUUCUUAAAUGAGGGACAGGAAGGCUGACCCAUCUUUCAUUUCACCUAUAUGAUCUUUCUCACAUAUUUUUCGGUACACGUAGUUGCCAUUUGAAGUGGCUGAUAGGCUGGUAGACUUGGGCUUUGAGGAUGUCAUACAUGACUUACUCUUUAAUGCUGCCAUGCCCAAAAAGAGAUACAAAACUUUACAAAAAAGUGCUCUAAUGAAACCCGUAACAAUUAAUGUGGGAAGAACUGGAGCAGCGAACUUUAAUGUCAUUCAAGAGGUUGAGUACGCGAAACAAAAGGAAAAAAUUGAAUGCCUCAAAAAGACACCUCCAAGAUACUAGUUACAGUUGUCUUGCAGGCCAAUCAUGCGAGUGAUGACACGUGUGAUAUGUUGCAUAAUAUUUUUGAUUAUUAUUAUUAUGAUAUUUUAUCACUUUAUAUUGGAUGAUGAAUAUAUUAUGAUGUCCCUAGAUCUGUGCAAUGAGAGUUGGAUUAUGAUGAGAUCAUGAUAAAGAGACUAUGAUAAUGAGAUCAAUUCGUCUAUAAACACAAAUCAUAAAUAUUCCAGAUCAUAUGUUACUCGAGAGGGACAUCGAGAUAACUGAAUAGACCACUGUGCUAUAUACCCAUCUAUAUGAUGGAGGCAACUAGUUUCAUGGCUGCUUGUGUGGGGAUACUAGGGAUAUAAUGCAAGUGCUUAUUGGAGAAUGAGUUCACUAAAUGAUUCGCUUAUGGAAUGCUGGUCGGUUAAUGAUACCUCAUCGUCAGACAGCGAUUUCAUGGUCUCAAUUGUGUAGCUGGUCAUUAGACUUGAGACACCAAGGAUGUCUUGUUUGAGCACUUCAUUCUUUGAUACCGGACUUGUAGAUCUGGAAGUUUUAGAUCUAGCACAGUCGGUCGUCGGGAGUGAUAGUCCACCUUACGAAGACAAUUAAAUGUCAAUAAAGGGAUGAAUUCGAUAAGCGUGAGACUCGGAUUAGAGUGAGACCCGAAUGAAUAUCGUAUGAGCCUGACGGUACCAUGCCCGAUAUAUGAUCUAUGAGAUAUUAGAUGAAUGAGGGACUAUAGAUACACGGUAACUGAAGACAAACAAGUCCAAUGGAUUAGAUCCCCUUGUAUCGUUUGAGAACUAUGACGUAGUGGCCUAGUACGUCUAUAAUCGAUGAGUUGAGUGAUCACUGAGUUAUAAGGAGUUCUAACAAAUGCAGCUCACGGCCAGCUUGAUAUUGGGCCUAGAGGGUUACACAUAUAUGAUGAACAAUGCGACGAAUAGAGGAUUGAAUAUGAGAUAUCCAAUAAGCCCCUGUUUUAUUGGAUCUAUUGGGUGAGACCUAAUAAGACUUAGAGUGAUUGUUGGAUGAAGAUUCAAUAUCCAUUAUGUCAUAGGUUAUUGGAUAAAGAUUCAAUACUCAAAAGGAAUGAUCCAUUAGGGUAAGUUAAGAGAGCUCUCUAUAUAUAGGGGUUGGGGCUUAAAGAGUCAUAGGCUAGACCUCUAUUGCCGCCACCUCCUUCAUCUCCUCCCUGCCCCUUCCUCCAGUUGACUGCAUCCUCUUUGGUGCGUUGUCGUCGUAUCCGCUGUGUGGAUCACUGCUAGAGAGGAGUUUGCGAGAGCUCCUUCAUCCAUGGACUGGGAUCUGCAGAUUAGGGGAUAUACAAUCUCCCCUAAGUGAGAACGUCUCAACCAGUUUAUGCAGUUACCAAGUUUUUGUCACUUUAAGUUUUUUUGCUCCCAAUCUUUACACGACGAUUAGAUAAGAUUGUUUUGGGAAAUCAGUUUUUGUUUUUAUUUUUCGUUGUGCAUGUGAUGCUCUCUGCGAUUUUCCAACACAAGAAAGACAGCAUGGAUGACAUUCAAUGAGUAUCUUCUUCUUGUGGGAAUUGAAGUUGUUGUCAUUCAUGUUCUCAAAGACCAGGAAGAAAGAGAGCACAACAUUGCAUCCUUUUAAAUCUGGUGAGAGGGAUGUUUUGAUUGCCACUGAUGUUACUUCCAAGGGCCUUGAUUUUCCUGACGUUAAUCAUGUGGUUAAUAUGAUAUGCCUGCUGAAAUUGAGAAUUAUAUUCAUCAUUUUGUCAAAAGGAGUGGUGUGGUAAAACAGGAACAACAACAACAACAACAUUCAUAAACAAGAACCAAACAGAGACAACUCUUUUUGACUCGAAGCACCUAUUACAAGAAGCAACUACAACAACAACAACAACAGCCUGUUCUUGGGACAUAACAACUUAUUGUUUCAGUUUUGGCAGCACUCGAUGACCCAAUGAACGGUGAUGCUGUCACCGACACAAGUGAGAGUUGUGCAUAUUGUGGUGGGCUUGGUCACUGAAUCCGACUACAGGUUCAACAAGACUACAGUAAUCAGAGAUUAAAAUCCUUCUAUUUCAGGGUGCCUAACUAUUUUCAGUUGGACAGUGGCUAUUAAUCCAGUGCAUUGUUGACGUUCCAGCAGUUAGUAACUGGAUGAAUAGAUGGUGAAAAGUCAGAUCUUAGCACCUCAGAAAUGGCAAUGUUAAAUUACAUGCUACCGAAUGAUGCAAAUUGUUGUAAGAUUUUAAUAUUUGUGAGAUAAUAGUGUAUACACAGGAGUCCGCUCCGCUGAAUGUCAAUUGAGAGGGAACUAUGUGGUGAAACUUAUGGUGGAUGUAUAACAUGUAAUGUGAUGUUGCGGGAAGAAUGCUAUCCAUGUACCAACUCUUUUCUGUAAAUGGUUUAGCAGCAGUACUGUAUGCUGAUGAUACUGUUGCUAUUUGG